UUCAUCGUCGUUUCCCAUUCGUCUCCCCUACCUCUCUCUGCCUUUUGCUUUUGCUCUGCUCUACAUUGUUCUGUUCUGUUCUGCGCGAAAGCUCGUUUGUUCGUCAGCUUGGGUUCGUCGCAACUCAAGCAGGAGUGCGUUGUGUUCGCUGUAGAAGAGAGUUGAGAUUCCUCGUAAUUUGAGCGCUGCAUUGGGAUUUGGGGGUUCAAGGCUCUGCUAUCGGUGUGUUGGCUAUUCGCUCGUCGGAGAAGGAAUGUUCAGGAGUUUGGCUGUGAACAGCGAAAUUAAUCGUGGCAGUUUCUCGGGUUUACAGGCAUUGUCGAUUUUUAUAGGGGUUUUGUUGCCACGGUGCAGUAGGUAGUGUUUUGCAUCGGUUCCGUUGAGGAGUAGGCUGAAUAGAUACGCGGCCUGGGCAUUGUAUUUUUUGUACAGAGGCCCUGUGCGUUUUGGAGUAGAGCUUGGGUAUCGAGUUCGUUGGCGUGGGUGUAUUUUGUGUUGAACGGGUAGGAAUGUAGAGUCGUGACGAAGCGAGGAGUUUUUUAAGCUAGUCCUUCCGAAAACUGACCAUCGACUUCAUUGCUUGUUGGUGAUUUUUCUCAUGCGGACGAUUGUCAGAUGACAUUUUGCAGUUCGCCGUCUCGUAUAUACGACAUCAAAUUAUUCUCUCGUGACCCACUGGAUUCUAGAAUGUGAAUCAUCAGGCCAUUUUUUCGGAAGGUUUCUUUAGAAUUGGAGGCUUUGUGAGCUGGGAAGGAGUAUAGUAAGAGUGUAGGUGUCCAUUCAGGAUCUGUCAUUAUCUUUGAGUAUUCUCUAUUGUUACCCUUCCGGAGCGGUUUGGGUUCUCUUGAACUUCCUUCAUAGCGGCUGAGGAAAGAUGCCGAACGACAAUAAGAUUAUAGCAAGGUCUUUCGGGAUUUUGAUAGGACUUGGAUUAGCUGGGUUUUUUGUCCUGCGGCGCGCGUUAAGACUAGCAGUUAAGAGGGAUAAUGGUGCCUUCAUAGAAUACUUCGAGCUGCCGCCCGCCACAUCACCUUCAAGCGCUCCACAACCUCUUUCUGGACUCACAUUUGCUGUCAAAGAUAUAUUCGAUGUGGAAGGAUUUGUUACAGGUUUUGGUAACCCAGAUUGGGCAGCAACACAUGAACCUGCCACUCGUACCGCUCUAGCGGUAAAGUACCUUGUGGAUUCAGGUGCGACAUGCGUUGGCAAACUUCAUAUGGAUGAGCUUGCUUACAGUAUCAUUGGAGAUAAUAAGCACUAUGGAACACCAGUCAAUCCUGCAGCACCAACCCGUGUUCCAGGAGGGUCGUCAAGUGGUUCAGGAGUGGCUGUAGCUGCCGAUUUAGUGGAUUUUUCACUUGGUACGGAUACUGCUGGUAGUGUGCGAGUACCAGCGGCCUUUUGUGGAAUCUUGGGUUUUCGGCCUUCGCAUGGAGCUGUUCCAGUGAUUGGAGUUAUCCCCAUGGCACAAAGUUUUGAUACUGUUGGUUGUUUUGCAAAAGAUCCAACAAUCUUACGGCAAGUAGGCCACAUUUUGCUCCAACUGUCUUACACGGAUGUGAGAAAACCCCAACGGUUUCUUAUCGCUGAUGAUUGCUUCGAACUUUCAUUAAUUCCUAAUGAAGCAUCUGUUGGUGCAGUUAUCAGAUCGAUACAGAAGCUUUUUGGACGAAAAGCAUUGCAACACAUAAAUCUCGGAGAUUAUGUGGCAAGCGCUGUACCUAGUCUGAAGGUUCUGCAGAAGGAGAUCGGUUCAGAUAUGGGAGCAAUAUCUUUACUUCGUACUGCCAUGCAGAUGAUUCAGAGAUGGGAGUUUAAGGUAAAUCAUGAAGGAUGGUUGACCACCGCAAAUCCUAACCUAGGACCUGCUACAGCUGCCAGAACGAAAGCUGCGCUUGAGACAACCUCUCAUCUUUUGCCUCUUCUACAGAGGAUCAAGGAUGAGGCUCGCUAUGCUAUCAAUGAUCUCCUGAAGGAUGACAUGCUUCUGGUGUUGCCCACCGUUCCAGAUAUACCUCCCAAACUAAACACCAAACCAGAGUCGCUUGAGGAAUUCCGAAACAGGGCUAUGGAUUUGAUAUGUAUAGCAGGCAUGUCAGGUUGCUGUCAGGUCACGAUGCCAGCAGGAGAACAUGACGACGUGCCCAUGGCAGUAUCCCUUCUUGCAAGACAGGGUUCUGACCGGUUCCUACUUGAUACAUUACUAGCUUUGUAUGCAACAGUACAGGUGGAAGACAAAGCUGAUGCUAACCAGCGGGCUAGUUUGAGUAACGGUCACUUUGAUGCUGCUGAAUUGGCGAAGGAAAAGGGCAACGCAGCAUUCAAGAGGAAUGACUUCAAGAAUGCCAUCAGUCAUUAUACUGAUGCUAUACGUAUUCGUGGAAAUAACCCAACAUACUACAAUAAUCGUGCUAUGGCUUAUCUCCAGCUUCGUAGUUAUUCAGAGGCUGAAGCUGAUUGUACCAAGGCGCUAAUUCUUGAUAAGAACAGCGUGAAAGCAUAUUUGAGGAGAGGCACUGCUCGUGAAUCUAUGGGAUACUACAAUGAAGCUGACGAAGGUCACAAGCGUUUGCCUCCUGCUACUGCUCUUCCAUGUGCUUGUGGCCGGGUCCUUUCUCUAGUUUGAAUAUCUUGCUUCCUACGGUGCUCUGGUCAUGUCCUGCAAUACAUCUUGUCCUCACGGUUGGGAAGCCCUAUAUCUGUUCCUGUUUUUGAAACCAAAGAAAUCGAAGUUUGAAGUGUGUUACUCUCUUAUCACUAUGUUAGUUUUUGAAUCUCCAGUAUACAAUGUGUAGUAUAGUCAAAGUGUUAUAAGGUUAUCUACACAAUUAAGAGUAUUUAGCGAAUUAUUGGAAUAAGGUAUGUAUCCUAAAAGAGGUAUUUCUUAAUCAGAGGGUGGUGCGAUGUAGAAAUCCUUUCAACGUGAGGUUGUGUUUGUGCGACUUCUUUUGUACAGCAGGUGGUUAAAAACAGUGUUUUUUUGGUUAAAAGUUGCUAGAGGGAGAUUAGUAUGUGUGUUGGAUACGGGCCACCACUUUCAAAUUUUCUAAGUUGGAAGGUUCAGUUUUUGUUGCCCGCGAGGUGUCGGCGGUACUUGAAGGUUUGUUCAAAGAUUUUAGGCAAGCUCUUGUUUAUGAACCAUCAAAUAAAACAGCUAGUGAAGCAUUGAGCAGACUUAAGAAGCUUCUUUAUAAUUGAAGUUGGCGAUGGAUUGUCUUUAGCUCAAUUGUUUCCAGGGCAUUAACAAGGAUAAGCUGGAUAUAUUUUCUUCCAUCCACCAUCCUUUGGCAUAUAGUUUUAUGUGAGCCUAUCUUUGAUGUUUUUGCACAUCAAGGCUCAGCCAUUAGUGUAUUCCGCGACAUUGGGUUGGAAAUUGUCCAGUUUGUGCUGGACCUAUGACAAAUUUGUAGAUCUUCGAGUUCGGAAGGAGACUAGGAGAGUUUCGAUCUCUGAAGUGAGUGCGACGGCAGGCAUCAAUGGUUAAUUGCAACUCUGCAUUGAACGCGAGUAAGUCUGUCCAGUUCCUGCGGAUAAGCUGGAUACUUUGUUCUGAAAACGGCUUAUGCGGUUCUGCAGUACACGUACAAAUCUUGCCUGCAUUGCUGCUUUGAGCAAAAGUUCCUAUACGCAUAGCGUGAAUAUGCCCUCAAUUUGACAUACUAAUGUAUCAGUGUUCACUUCAACUGAAACAUUUCAAAAACCCAUCAAAAUUAUUUGUCAUUAGUAGUACUUUAAAUCUAUUAUAAAGAAAUUGCUAAAGAAAGAAGUUGCAAAAAAGGAUGGUGUAUAUUCAAUUUACAUGA